GCAUAAUCAUUUGCCUAUUAAUUGUAGGCUAGUAUGAAAGGAUAAACGCGAGUAAUCCUGUCUCUAUCAAAUCUAUAAAACUUUAUAUUUUAGUGAAGAAGCUAAAAUACUACCGCAGGACAAGAAGACCCUAUAGAGCUUUACCUAAGACAUACUCAUUCCAAGUUCUCAACGGUUCGGUUGGGGCGACCAGGGCAUACAGCACAGCCCUAAAAAUUUAAGACCUUCCAGUCACAGAAAAGAUCCUAAAUCAAGAUCAAAGAAUCAAGCUACCUUAGGGAUAACAGGCUAAUCCUCUUUUAGAGCCCUUAUUAACAAGAGGGA
rnacentral:rRNA from 1 species